rnacentral:rRNA from 1 species
AACGAACGCUGGCGGCAGGCCUAACACAUGCAAGUCGAACGCUCCGCAAGGGGAGUGGCAGACGGGUGAGUAACACGUGGGAAUCUUCCUGUUGGUACGGAAUAGCUCAGGGAAACUUCAGCUAAUACCGGAUACGCCCUACGGGGGAAAGAUUUAUCGGUUCUGGAUGAGCCCGCGUUGGAUUAGCUAGUUGGUGGGGUAAUGGCCUACCAAGGCGACGAUCCAUAGCUGGUCUGAGAGGAUGAUCAGCCACACUGGGACUGAGACACGGCCCAGACUCCUACGGGAGGCAGCAGUGGGGAAUAUUGGACAAUGGGCGAAAGCCUGAUCCAGCCAUGCCGCGUGAGUGAUGAAGGCCUUAGGGUUGUAAAGCUCUUUCAAUAGGGAAGAUAAUGACGGUACCUACAGAAGAAGCCCCGGCUAACUUCGUGCCAGCAGCCGCCGUAAUAC